rnacentral:rRNA from 1 species
GACGAACGCUGGCGGCGUGCUUAACACAUGCAAGUCGAACGGAAAGGCCUCUUUCGGGGGGUACUCGAGUGGCGAACGGGUGAGUAACACGUGAGUAACCUGCCCUUGACUUUGGGAUAACUUCAGGAAACUGGGGCUAAUACCGGAUAGGAGCUCCUGCUGCAUGGUGGGGGUUGGAAAGUUUCGGCGGUUGGGGAUGGACUCGCGGCUUAUCAGCUUGUUGGUGGGGUAGUGGCUUACCAAGGCUUUGACGGGUAGCCGGCCUGAGAGGGUGACCGGCCACAUUGGGACUGAGAUACGGCCCAGACUCCUACGGGAGGCAGCAGUGGGGAAUAUUGCACAAUGGGUGGAAGCCUGAUGCAGCAACGCCGUGUGCGGGAUGACGGCCUUCGGGAUGUAAACCGCUUUCGCUCAUGACGAAGCUUUGUGUGACGGUAGUGGGUAAAGAAGCACCGGCUAACUACGUG